CUUAAGGUGAAUACCUUGGCAUUCAGAAGCGAAGAAGGACGUGGUUACCGGCGAAACGCCUCGGGGAGUUGGAAACAAGCUUUGAUCCGGGGGUAUCCGAAUGAGGCAACUCUUUAAAACUUCUUGUUGAAUCUAUAGGCAAGAAAGAGCGAACCUGGAGAAUUGAAACAUCUUAGUAACCAGAGGAAUAGAAAGUAAAAACGAUUCUCUUAGUAGCGGCGAGCGAAAUGGGAA
rnacentral:rRNA from 1 species